rnacentral:lncRNA from 1 species
GAUUUUUACUCCCAGAACCCAGCUGUUAAGCUUCACUGUGUUUUUGGGAUGUUUCUUAUGUGAUUGUGUUUGUGUGUGGACAGGGAUGUAUUGAGAACAGGGAUCACAAUCAGCCUAAAAAUGAACAAUUUGUGUUUGUUACUUGAAAGCUGCAACUAUCUCAAUUAUAGCAUGAAGGAUUAGUCAGUCAAUUAGAAUUCAGUAUAUGACUAUUAAUUCAUUCGUUUAAUAGCUCAUUAAACUCAAAGCUUUCUGCAUUAAAUAUUGUGAAAAAUAUGCAUUACAAUCUAUUGUAGUUUUUCCCUAAUGGUUGUACUUGUAUUAUUUGUUAACAGUCAAGACAAUAACUAUAAUUUAGCUGGGCAGAUGUCUAAACUGUUUGCUCCAUGUAUCAUACUUCCCAAAAUCCUUGUUAUCAUUAUCACAGCCUGAGACACAAACUCCCCAUCGCUCAUCAGUUUCUACCCUUCUUCAAUACAGUGUCUGCAUGUCUGGAUGGGUGACAGCUUGAUUGACAGCUUGUUCGAGUCAUAUUGACAGGCUGUCGCACUCGAGAGACGGAUGUGCCUUAGGAGGUGACCAUGUCACUAUGCGUCCCAUCAGUCCUUGGGGUGGCAGAUGGAGGCCUUGGAAGAUUGCAAAAUUGCAUCUGUAGGUGGUACCAAGGUGAAAAGAAGAAUAGCUACUUUACUCAGGCUUACUUGGAUUACACAACUCGCAUGCAAUUUUAUUGCCAGACCAUUCUCUAGUGAUGACAGCAUCAUGUUGAGUACAAGAGCAGGUAUCUUCUGACCCCCAUGUACAUUCAUUAUUGUAGUUUCCACCAUUAUUGCAUUUUCCAUAUUUCUUGACUAGUUCUUAAAAGGAUAUUCCAGGUGUAAUAUAAGUAAAUAAAAGUUAAGCUAAACUGACAGCAUGUGUGGUGUAAUGUUGAUUAGCCAAAAAAUUUAAAAUAAAACUUUUUUUUUUUUGUAUAGGCCAAUAAAUGUAAAGGUUCUAAUCAGUGUCGUUUUAAUAUUAUUUAUAUACUAUUAUAGUAUAUAUCAAUAUUUUGAAUUAGCUUUUAUUUUUAGAUUUUAAGUUUUAAUUUUAAGUUUUAUUAACUUUAGGAAACUUUUUUAAAUCUCUAUUUAUUUAUUUUAUUUUUCACAUUUUAGUGCUUCAACCUAUUUUAGUUACACUGAAAUAAAAUUGGUGUAGAAACAAUAUUUUCGCUCAGAA